rnacentral:rRNA from 1 species
UACGGAGGGUGCAAGCGUUAUCCGGAUUCACUGGGUUUAAAGGGUGCGUAGGCGGCGCGGUAAGCCGGGUGUGAAAUCUCGGAGCUUAACUCCGAAACUGCAUUCGAUACUGCCGUGCUUGAGGACUGGAGAGGAGACUGGAAUUUACGGUGUAGCGGUGAAAUGCGUAGAUAUCGUAAGGAAGACCAGUGGCGAAGGCGGGUCUCUGGACAGUUCCUGACGCUGAGGCACGAAGGUCAGGGGAGCAAACGGG